GAUCAUGGCUCAGAUUGAACGCUGGCGGAAUGCUUUACACAUGCAAGUCGAACGGCAGCACGGGGCAACCUGGUGGCGAGUGGCGAACGGGUGAGUAAUACAUCGGAACGUGCCCAAUCGUGGGGGAUAACGUAGCGAAAGUUACGCUAAUACCGCAUACGAUCUACGGAUGAAAGCGGGGGAUCGCAAGACCUCGCGCGAGUGGAGCGGCCGAUGUCAGAUUAGGUAGUUGGUGGGGUAAAGGCUCACCAAGCCAACGAUCUGUAGCUGGUCUGAGAGGACGACCAGCCACACUGGAACUGAGACACGGUCCAGACUCCUACGGGAGGCAGCAGUGGGGAAUUUUGGACAAUGGGCGCAAGCCUGAUCCAGCCAUUCCGCGUGCAGGAUGAAGGCCUUCGGGUUGUAAACUGCUUUUGUACGGAACGUAACGGCGAGCUCUAAUACAGUUUGCUAAUGACGGUACCGUAAGAAUAAGCACCGGCUAACUACGUG
rnacentral:rRNA from 1 species